rnacentral:rRNA from 1 species
AUUGAACGCUGGCGGCAGGCCUAACACAUGCAAGUCGAGCGAGCGGCGGACGGGUGAGUAAUGUCUGGGAAACUGCCUGAUGGAGGGGGAUAACUACUGGAAACGGUAGCUAAUACCGCAUACCAUCAGAUGUGCCCAGAUUGGAUUAGCUAGUAGGUGGGGUAACGGCUCACCUAGGCGACGAUCCCUAUCUGGUCUGAGAGGAUGAACAGUCACACUGGAACUGAGACACGGUCCAGACUCAUACGAGAGGCAGCAGUGGGGAAUAUUGCACAGUGGGCGCAAGCCUGAUGCAGCCAUGCCGCGUGUGUGAAGAGGGCCUUCGGGUUGUAAAGCACUUUCAGCGGGGAGGCGUUACCCGCAGAAGAAGCACCGGCUAACUCCGUGCCAGCAGCCGCAGUAAUAC